CAAAAAAAAGCAUUUAAGAUGUGUCUCACUUACAUUGAGAAGAAAACCUUAUAGGUUUUUUUUGA
rnacentral:tRNA from 1 species